UGGGGAAUUUUGGACAAUGGGGGCAACCCUGAUCCAGCAAUGCCGCGUGUGUGAAGAAGGCCUUCGGGUUGUAAAGCACUUUUGUCCGGAAAGAAAACGCCGUGGUUAAUACCCGUGGCGGAUGACGGUACCGGAAGAAUAAGCACCGGCUAACUACGUGCCAGCAGCCGCGGUAAUACGUAGGGUGCAAGCGUUAAUCGGAAUUACUGGGCGUAAAGCGUGCGCAGGCGGUCCGCUAAGACAGAUGUGAAAUCCCCGGGCUUAACCUGGGAACUGCAUUUGUGACUGGCGGGCUAGAGUAUGGCAGAGGGGGGUAGAAUUCCACGUGUAGCAGUGAAAUGCGUAGAGAUGUGGAGGAAUACCGAUGGCGAAGGCAGCCCCCUGGGCCAAUACUGACGCUCAUGCACGAAAGCGUGGGGAGCAAACAGGAUUAGAUACCCUGGUAGUCCACGCCCUAAACGAUGUCAACUAGUUGUCGGGUCUUCAUUGACUUGGUAACGUAGCUAACGCGUGAAGUUGACCGCCUGGGGAGUACGGUCGCAAGAUUAAAACUUAAAUGAAUUGACGGGGUCAUAGCUGUUUCCUG
rnacentral:rRNA from 1 species